rnacentral:tRNA from 1 species
GGUGAGAUGGCCGAGAGGCUGAAGGCGCUCCCCUGCUAAGGAGUAUGCGGUCAAAAGCUGCAUCGAGGGUUCGAAUCCUCUCUCACCGCCA